rnacentral:rRNA from 1 species
UACGAAGGGGGCUAGCGUUGCUCGGAAUCACUGGGCGUAAAGCGCACGUAGGCGGACUCUUAAGUCGGUGGUGAAAUCCUGGAGCUCAACUCCAGAACUGCCCUUCGAUACUGGGAGUCUUGAGUCCGGGAGAGGUGAGUGGAACUGCGAGUGUAGAGGUGAAAUUCGUAGAUAUCGGGAGGAACACCUGUGGCGAAAGCGGCUCACUGGACCAUAACUGACGCUGAUGCACGAAAGCUGGGGGAGCAAACAGG